CUUGCUCUCGGGUGACGAGUGGCGGACGGGUGAGUAAUGUCUGGGAAACUGCCUGAUGGAGGGGGAUAACUACUGGAAACGGUAGCUAAUACCGCAUAACGUCGCAAGACCAAAGAGGGGGACCUUCGGGCCUCUUGCCAUCAGAUGUGCCCAGAUGGGAUUAGCUAGUAGGUGGGGUAACGGCUCACCUAGGCGACGAUCCCUAGCUGGUCUGAGAGGAUGACCAGCCACACUGGAACUGAGACACGGUCCAGACUCCUACGGGAGGCAGCAGUGGGGAAUAUUGCACAAUGGGCGCAAGCCUGAUGCAGCCAUGCCGCGUGUAUGAAGAAGGCCUUCGGGUUGUAAAGUACUUUCAGCGGGGAGGAAGGNNAUAAGGUUAAUAACCUUGUCGAUUGACGUUACCCGCAGAAGAAGCACCGGCUAACUCCGUGCCAGCAGCCGCGGUAAUACGGAGGGUGCAAGCGUUAAUCGGAAUUACUGGGCGUAAAGCGCACGCAGGCGGUCUGUCAAGUCGGAUGUGAAAUCCCCGGGCUCAACCUGGGAACUGCAUUCGAAACUGGCAGGCUGGAGUCUUGUAGAGGGGGGUAGAAUUCCAGGUGUAGCGGUGAAAUGCGUANAGAUCUGGAGGAAUACCGGUGGCGAA
rnacentral:rRNA from 1 species